GGUGUGUGUGUGUGUGUGACAAGCCCAGUAUAUUUAAAACAUUUAUUGUCCUUACUUUCAUUUCUGCCACAUGUAGAGCAGCUCUCUCUCCAACACAAGAAGCAAUUUCAGAGCAGUGAUGACAACGUUGUCCUCGUUCAGAAGCAGAGGAGUGGUUGGGCUCAGAAAAUAUAAAGACCUUGUCUUCAUGAUUACUCUGCUCAGCCUGCUCUGUCCUGCAAGUUCAUGGAUAAGCAAGAAGGAACUGCAAGAAAUGAAGGAAAAUAUUCAGACGCUACAAGAAGAUGCAGCAAUGAGAAAAGUUGACAACAAGUUGGACAAGGCUCUACUGACUUUGCUCCUUGAAGAAGCUACACAUGCUAUAGACCUUUUAACUGAAUAUCUCAAGAGGUCGUUACCAGAGCUUCAAUUUCCCGUUGAAGAACUAAAGGACCUGAAGAAAUUUCUGGUGGAAAGCCAGGAUUUUAUGCCAAAAAAGUUUCAGAACGAAGCCGAACAAGUCCAGCAAUAUGAAGACACACUCGCAUAUUUAAAGACGUUUGUAUCAAAUUUAGCAGAGGAGCAUGUUGACUUGUAAACUGUGUAGCAUAGUUCCAGACACUUUAUCCCUGGGAAACCUAAUUACCCAGAACUAUAAAUUCACCUUAUGUCUGUUUAUUGUGUUUAAGAAAACAGUUCUGAUAAAAUGUCUGAAUCACUUUUAUUGCUUUUUAAAGAACAAUAAAAACAGAGGUGAGCUAUAAUAAAAAAGACCUCGAUAAACUGGUAAAUAACUCUUAAGCUGAAAUAGAUUUUAAAUGAGAUGCUAUGUGUAAAUGCCUACAAUGGGUGCUGAGUGUUUGAAAAAAAUGCACUUGUGAAAUAAAAGUAUAAAUAACA